rnacentral:piRNA from 1 species
UGUGUUUUCUCCUCCUAGGCA